AACACUUGUUAUCUUGCCUGUCCCGUCUUGUAAUACAACUGUGAAUAACUGUAGUGUCCAGUCUGCUCUGAGUCCAACGUGAGAGGAUAAAAAAGUAGCAGUGCCCAGAGGGUAUAUUCUAACUUCUUGUAAACACAGUGAUGGCUGAAGCUCUUGUGUGACACAUUUGCUACUUGUAUCCUGAGACAACAUCAGCCUCCUCUCUCUCACUGAAGGAACUUCAUGCACCCAAAUGUCAGCAUGCCCGGAGCAGAGGUUAAGGACUAUGUACACACGAAGUAGGAAGCUUCUGUUUAAUGUAAAACAUUCACUAUGACUCACCGGAAAGGAGAGAGCGAGACAACAUCAGGAGGGGAAUUCAGAAAAAUGAGAAGAAUGGUUCAAAUGAAACCAGAUAAACCACCCCAUGCCUGAGAUAUAAAC